rnacentral:rRNA from 1 species
GAUGAACGCUGACAGCAUGCUUAACACAUGCAAGUCUACUGGAACUUCGGUUUGGGUGGCGGACGGGUGAGUAACGCGUAAAGAACUUGCCUCACAGAUAGGGACAACAUUUGGAAACGAAUGCUAAUACCUGAUAUUAUGAUUUUAGGGCAUCCUAGAAUUAUGAAAGCUAUAUGCACUGUGAGAGAGCUUUGCGUCCCAUUAGCUAGUUGGAGGGGUAACGGCUCACAAAGGCGAUGAUGGGUAGCCGGCCUGAGAGGGUGAGCGGCCACAAGGGGACUGAGACACGGCCCUCACUCCUACGGGAGGCAGGAGUGGGGAAUAUUGGACAAGGGACCAAGAGUCUGAAGCAGCGAUUCUGUGUGGACGAUGAAGUUUUUCGGAAUGUAAAGUGCUUUCAGGUGGGAAGAAAAAAAUGACGGUACCAACAGAAGAAGUGACGGCUAACUACGUG